UCACGCAAACAUGCACACACACACAUUAAGACACACAGAUAUAUAGAUAGAACCUUAAAAAGAACCCUUCCCAGAUUUUUACUUCGUUUGCUCAUUUUCUCAUUCUCUCUUUGCCUCUUUCUCUCGCUAUCCUCUUAUUUCUUUGGUUUUUAUUUCAUUGGUUCUUUCUACUUUGAUUUCUCAAUUGUGAUUUCUGGUAGUUUUCUUCGGUGAUGCCUUUAGCAGAAGGAGAGGAAAUUCUAUCAUCAAAACUCUUCGUAUUCUUUAAAUUGAAAUUAAGCAAGGUAAGAUUCCGACAUAGGAGAGGAAAAAAAAACAAAACUUACUUUUUCAUUUUUUCAUUUAAUCCUUUUAUGUGUGUAUAUAUGUGUAUGU
rnacentral:ribozyme from 13 species